rnacentral:rRNA from 1 species
AGUGAACGCUGGCGGUAGGCCUAACACAUGCAAGUCGAACGGCAGCAGAGUAAGAGCUUGCUCUUACGGGUGGCGAGUGGCGGACGGGUGAGGAAUACAUCGGAAUCUACUUUUUCGUGGGGGAUAACGUAGGGAAACUUACGCUAAUACCGCAUACGACCUACGGGUGAAAGCAGGGGAUCUUCGGACCUUGCGCGAUUGAAUGAGCCGAUGUCGGAUUAGCUAGUUGGCGGGGUAAAGGCCCACCAAGGCGACGAUCCGUAGCUGGUCUGAGAGGAUGAUCAGCCACACUGGAACUGAGACAUGGUCCAGACUCCUACGGGAGGCAGCAGUGGGGAAUAUUGGACAAUGGGCGCAAGCCUGAUCCAGCCAUACCGCGUGGGUGAAGAAGGCCUUCGGGUUGUAAAGCCCUUUUGUUGGGAAAGAAAAGCAGCAGGUUAAUACCCCGCUGUUCUGACGGUACCCAAAGAAUAAGCACCGGCUAACUUCGUG